AAAAAAUGGUUACUAAACUUUUACCACACAAAAAAAAACAUUCAUUUUCGUAAGGGGAAUAUGAGUGUUUGUUUUUUUUGUAGUUUUUGAGUCAAUUGCAUACCGCUUUUAGCUGUACACAUUAAUUAACUUAAACAGUUUUCGUAAAUGCAUUUCAGAGAAAAGUGAAUUCUGAGAUUUGAAUAAUGCAUCUGACGUGUGGGAUGACGUCACGACGCACGUAUUUUGAUUUUUACCAGUCGUUCAAGACAGACGGAUUCAGUCCCAAGAAGCUAAAGUUUUUCAAAGACAUUUGUAGGGAGGACUUUGCAGCUAAUGAUUUCCUAAGGCUGAACCAAAACCUGCCAGACUAAAGUUAAUUUGGGAGAGAAAGACGUUGUAAACUUAAUCAUCUUGACAUUCUUCAAUGAGUAAUUGUUCAAUUUUUAGGCAAAUACUGUACACUUUGAAUGCUGUGAAUAAAACUAUAUUUUAAAUAUAUUUAAAA